UUUCCGGUUGAUCCUGCCAGAGGUUACUGCUAUCGGUGUUCGACUAAGCCAUGCGAGUCAUAUGUUCUUCGUGAACAUGGCGGACUGCUCAGUAACACGUGGAUAACCUGCCCUUAGGUUCGGCAUAACUCCGGGAAACUGGAGAUAAUUCCGAAUAGGUCAAAUAUGCUGGAAUGCUUUUUGGCCAAAAGACUUCGGUUGCCUAAGGAUGGAUCUGCGGUCUAUCAGGUUGUAGUGGGUGUAACGUACCUACUAGCCUACGACGGAUAUGGGUUGUGAGAGCAAGAGCCCAGAGAUGGAUUCUGAGACAUGAAUCCAGGCCCUACGGGGCGCAGCAGGCGCGAAAACUUUACAAUGCGGGAAACCGCGAUAAGGGGACACCGAGUGCCAGCAUUUAUGUUGGCUGUCCACAUGUGUAAACGGCAUGUGUUAGCAAGGGCCGGGCAAGACCGGUGCCAGCCGCCGCGGUAACACCGGCGGCCCGAGUGGUAAUCACUUUUAUUGGGUCUAAAGGGUCCGUAGCCGGUUUGAUCAGUUCUUCGGGAAAUCUGACAGCUCAACUGUUAGGCUUCCGGGGAAUACUGUCAGACUUGGGACCGGGAGAGGUAAGAGGUACUACAGGGGUAGGAGUGAAAUCUUGUAAUCCCUGUGGGACCACCAGUGGCGAAGGCGUCUUACCAGAACGGGUCCGACGGUGAGGGACGAAAGCUGGGGGCACGAACCGGAUUAGAUACCCGGGUAGUCCCAGCCGUAAACGAUGUUCGCUAGGUGUCAGGGGCGGUGCGACCGCUUCUGGUGCCGUAGGGAAGCCGUGAAGCGAACCACCUGGGAAGUACGGCCGCAAGGCUGAACUUAAAGGAAUUGGCGGGGGAGCACUACAACGGGUGGAGCCUGCGGUUUAAUUGG
rnacentral:rRNA from 1 species